rnacentral:rRNA from 1 species
CCGGCGCGACGGGUGACGUAACACGUACUACCCAACCGUCGGCCAUAACCGUCCGGGAUACGCCCUCUUUGAAAGGAGGAUUAAUACCGGAUGGUAUCAUUAGUUCGCAUGAGAUGAUGAUUAAAGAAUUUCGGUUAUGGAUGGGGAUGCGUUCCAUUAGAUAGUUGGCGGGGUAACGGCCCACCAAGUCAACGAUGGAUAGGGGUUCUGAGAGGAAGGUCCCCCACAUUGGAACUGAGACACGGUCCAAACUCCUACGGGAGGCAGCAGUGAGGAAUAUUGGUCAAUGGGCGAGAGCCUGAACCAGCCAAGUAGCGUGAAGGAUGACUGCCCUAUGGGUUGUAAACUUCUUUUAUAAAGGAAUAACAGACACUACGUGUAGUGUUUUGCAUGUACUUUAUGAAUAAGCAUCGGCUAACUCCGUGCC